AUUGAACGCUGGCGGCAUGCUUUACACAUGCAAGUCGAACGGUAACAGGCCGCAAGGUGCUGACGAGUGGCGAACGGGUGAGUAAUGCAUCGGAACGUGCCCAGACGUGGGGGAUAACUCCUCGAAAGAGUAGCUAAUACCGCAUACGAUCUAUGGAUGAAAGCGGGGGACCGUAAGGCCUCGCGCGAUUGGAGCGGCCGAUGUCAGAUUAGGUAGUUGGUGGGGUAAAGGCUCACCAAGCCAACGAUCUGUAGCUGGUCUGAGAGGACGACCAGCCACACUGGGACUGAGACACGGCCCAGACUCCUACGGGAGGCAGCAGUGGGGAAUUUUGGACAAUGGGCGCAAGCCUGAUCCAGCAAUGCCGCGUGCAGGAAGAAGGCCUUCGGGUUGUAAACUGCUUUUGUACGGAACGAAACGGCUCUGGUUAAUACCCGGGGCUAAUGACGGUACCGUAAGAAUAAGCACCGGCUAACUACGUG
rnacentral:rRNA from 1 species